CUUAGCAUAUCACAUUUUGAAUGCAGAGGUUAGUUAUACUGAGCACCACUGUUUUUUGAAGGGAGUAUUAAGCCGGAUAUCUAUAAUAAUAAAAGCAUAAUAUGCUAAUUAGUCUGGACGACCUUCCGGAUUAAGCCACGGUGCUGUGGGGCCAAGGCGGGGCCAAGGCAGAGGCAGAGGCAGCGGCUGUGGCUGUAGGGUCCGAGCCCCUUGCACGAAUUUCGUGCAUCAGGCCUCUAGUAAUACUAUAAAGAAAUCCCUUGAUACAGAUCCAUAAAUAACAAUUGUGGCUGAUUGAAUGUUUUAGUGAACUUUUAUGGAUCCUUUUAAUUGGAAGUAAUGCCAGAAUUUAUUUCUUAAGAUAUUUUCAGUUUGCAUUGAAAUGAUUGGAAUAUGAUUUCUUUUUUAGUUUAAAUACUGUUUUGAGACCUGUGUGGAGUUAUGAAAGAUUUUUAAAUGUGUCACUAGGUAUUAUAUAGAUAGUUAACUUUACUCACUUUUAAAAGUGGAAGCAGGACAUACACAUCAUCUCCAGGGUUUAAAUAUAUUUGGGGCUUAUUUUUUGGUAUGGGUUUGGAGGGAGUAUAUUAAGUAAUCAUUCUGAAUGUGUUAUUUUUCUAAUCGCUAGUGAUGAUUGCACUGAAAUAGAAAAAAUCUUCUAUCUUAGGGAGUUGCAUAUGAAGUCUAAAUAUUAUAUAUUGGACUUCAAAAAUAAUCUUUAAGAGCACUAGCUUUGUGUUGAAGGAACAAACGAAUAUUAAAGGUUAAAAAAAAUUAAGGAGAAAUGUGAAACUGCUAGAACCUGAUACUAUGGACAUCUAUCCCAACAGUUAAGUAACUGGUAUAACAAAUCCUUGGCUCUCAGGUGCAUGUAAUUCUAUUUUUUAAAGUAAAUAGAGCGGUGAUUCUAAUGUGCAGCCAAGGUUGAGAACCACUGAAAUAGAGGCUUAGAAAAUAGAUUCUAACCCAAACAUUUGUAAUUAUGCUGAGAUUAACAUGUAAAUAAGUGUUUAUUGGGUCUGAACCUUAUAAAAGCCAGAUCUCCAAGUUAAGUGGAAAAAGCCUAUAAGUUAAUUACCGUUAUACUUUGCAGAGUAAAGUUCUAGCGACAGUGCAGUAAAAUGAUCUCUAAUCAGGCUUCAGACCAAAUUUAACAACAUUUGCAAAAUUGUCAGGUUUUAUAGUUGAGGUAUAGAUUAAGUGUCAGCUUUCAGAAAUUUGGGUUCAAUUACUUUUUGCUCAGCCUGGGUUUACCUUGGAUAUGUUCUCUCCAUUUGAGAUUCUUACUUGAUUUUGAAGUUGUGCAAAUAGGAAGUUUAUAUGAGAAAUGAUUGGAAUAGGUCUGUUUCAGUCUGAGAAGAAUAUAGUGAAAGGUUGUGUCCUAAAGAAUUAGAAAUUUUCAGAAAGUAAUUAGGGUAUAAAGAUAAAUGAUUAAGGCCAUCAAGAUUUUGGCUACAAAAAAAAGUAGUAGUAUGGAAGUGUCAUUUAAAUAAAGUGCUAUAUCUUCCUGGGGUCUGCAAAUUUUCAGCCUGUGGCUUGUUUUGAAAGGGUUAGAAACAAAACUAUUCUACAAAGAUGUAUGUAGCCCACAUAGUUUAAAACAUUCUCCGGCCCUUAACAGAAAACGUUUACUGAAUCCUGAUCUAAGCUAUCACUCCUAGGUCAGCGCAUAUAAGAGUUUUUUUAAAUAAAAGUGUUAUUUUUAGCUACAAAUUAAAUCGUCCUACCCUGUGGGAAGUUGUGAAAUCAGAAGUAUUUUCAAGCAAUUUUUUUUUGCCUCUUCUAUACUCAGGAUAAGGGCCAAAAUAUCUGGUUGCCACUUAGUAAAGAUGAUCUUAUUUUAAGAAAAGAUUGUGGAGUUUGCAACUUAAAUAUGUUACCCUAAAAGCUGUUAAGGAAAGUAUAAAUUUGCUAUAAAAGUAAGCUUAAUGCCAUGGUUAUAGUUUCAUGAUUCAUGUUUAGUGACAGUUCUUGUCUCUCAGUGCUGAAAUCUUUCUAUUGUGAUUAAUUUUUCCAUGAGAUGAGAAUUCUGAAUGGGUAAGAAAUCAUGUCUGUUAACUUCAUAGGUUGAGCUAGGACAAGAAUGAAUGACUUCUGAGGAUUACUUUGUUAGGAUAUUCAUUUGGGCAGUUUAGAUUUUGUGCCAUUGAUGACUUCUGUACUGAAUAACUGGGAGUCAGUUGUUCACUUCUAAAUGGAAGGAAAGAAAAGGUGAGAAAUGGCCUAUACAAGUUAGAAAAUAAUUUACCAAAUUGUUAGUUUGAGGUAUUAUGUAGGUACUUAGUGCUUUAAAUCAGUAACCUUUGUCCCUUUUGCUGCCCAUUUGGGGGAGAGUAGCAGUUCCCGGUGCAUUGUAUGUUUAUUCUAAGCCUUGUGCAUUCAAGACAAAAGAUAACUGGUGAUAACGUUUAUGAGAAUUCUGAUUAUGGAUUUUUUAACCUAUUUAGAUAAUGGAUUCAUAUCAGGUAAUGAGAAUUGCUCUGAAUAGAUCUUGCUGUGGUUUUGAUUACUUAUAAUAGCUGCAUUACUGGUAUGGAAAUGUGAACAGUGAAGGGUUAAUAUUCAGGAUUAUGACACCUGUUAUUUGGUGAACUGAGUAGGGAAAAUGGGAAAUAGCUUAUCUUUAGGCAUUAUUAUUUAUAUCACCUAAUCGCAGUUAUAGCUGAUUUAACAGACUUUAGGAACUUUAAAAGACCUCUAAUUGGAAGAAAUAGCAUUUUUAUCUAUCUAGAAUGAUGGUUCUAUAUAAAGUGAUCCAGCUGAACUUGGUUCUUGACAUUUGACUGCAUAGAAUUUUGUCAAAUUGCAUUAAAUUUUUUUAUUAGCUAAAUGUCAAGAACUUGAGGAACUUUGCAUGUUGGAAUUCCUUGUUUCACGCCUUGGAUGUAAUAAUCCAUGGUGAAAUGUUGCUUUGUUUGGCAACCAACCACACUCUGACAAUAAUAGGCCAGCACAUUUAGACAUUUUGUGCUUAGACUGCCAGGGGCUGUUUUGGAAAUUGAUGACUUAAACACAUCAGAGAAGUUGGUAGAUUCCUCUCUACCCCUUCCAAUUUUAUGCCUGAAAAUGUUUAGGAUUUAAUAAUUGGUGAAUUGAACUAAACACCGGCAGAUAACUUUUCAAAGAUAGUUGGUUUGUCUUCUCCCUGGAAAUUCUGAAUUUCCAAUGAAGCUUCCACUGUUUUUUUUUCUCAGUAAAAAAGGAAGAACCUUUCUUACAAACUACAAAUAAUUUGGUUUCGACUUGGUCUUGUGUACACAAACCUUACAUGUACAAGGCUUCACUUAGGUGCUAUAGUUUAGGAGUGUCUGAGGAGUGCUUGGGAAGACUGGAUUGGAUAAAGCUACUUUUAGGACAUGUUCAUUGGUCACUAGCAUAGGAGAAAAAUCACAUACCUAGCAGGUAUAGUGUGUACUACAGACCACUGUAUUUUGUUCAUUAUAGUGUUCUUUGAAGAUUGAGUGGCACUUUGUCACUUUCUCGACAAAAUCCAGUAUAUCAGUUUUUAACAAUUGGACUGACCUCCCUGCCUUUUGCCAAAAAGUAGAAUUGGAAGUCAUGCUGACUGAAGCAGAGAAGUGGUUUGGAGGCUGUGUAAUGAAUGCUAAGUGAAAAUACUUGGCAUGUGAGAAAUAAAUUCUCUUCAGGAAAAAUUGGUAAUGUUUAUCAUGAACAAAAAACAAACCUGUACUGUUGAUUGAGGAACAUAACUAGCACCUCCAAAUUAUAGGAGAGCAUUAAUGUGCACACACCCCUUUUUUCCAACAUCAUCACUUUUGCUACUAAGUUAUUACACUUUAAAGUGGGUGUUUUAAAAAACUCAAUUGCAUUGAAAGCUACCCUGCCAUAGACAGGAGAGGGUAAACUGAAGGAAGUGUGUAUAGGAAUGCAAAGGAAUCUUGUGGAGCUGUAGCAUAAGUAUGAGAAGAACCACAGGAGAGAUGUUAUUUUCUACAGUGUUGAGAAAAGAAGGCAAAUGGUCUUUUACUCCCUUUCUGUUGGAAUAAAGUGAGAUUUUUGUUUCUAAAUGAGAUCCUGCAGUGUCCUGUUUUCACCCUGAGGGAUUUUUUGACUGGUGAAGGCUGGGUAUGGGGGCCUUUUGGACUUGGUACAGCACAAGAAACUAUCCUCGGGUUCACACAAGCCACAUUCUCACCUACUCUGCAGGGAGAUGUGUAAGCCAUUUUAGCAAGUGAAUUGUGAUUUUCUUUAGUAAAGGAACAAAUUUUAAUGUUUUUGCAGCUUUUGAAUAUAGUGAAAAUUUCUUGUUUGUGGGUGGGCCUGCCUGUCCAGUGGUAAUUUAGGGCCUUUCAAUACAGCUUAUUCUCUGUGAGAAUCUUAUAACACCUUUUACAGUAUUUCCCUGGCUCCUAUUACCUAUAGGUAGUAAAAUGUCUGAAAUUGGCAAGGGAGAAAAAGCUAUUUUGAACCUUGCCUACAUUCUCUUGCCUAGACAAGGCCAGGGUUUUAUGGAAUACCUUAAAGUUGUGGAAUUUGAAAAAUGGCCCCAAUUGACUUAAAGGGACCCCAUUGUAGCACAUAAUGCGUUUGUAUAUUUCCUAGAGAUGUUACUGAAAUUUAAGCAGAACCUACUUAACCACUUGUACGUAAAUGACCACUAACAACAUGUGCAGCCAGUUACCAUAGCGUAAAGGACAGGCAUUUAUGUUUUAAUACCAGCAACAAAAUUGAGUUAUAUAGUCCCUAAUUCCUUUUUGCUUAGGAAAUAAUAGCCUUCAUGUUGGGGAAAAAAGCAGUAGACAAAUCCAAUGGGGUUAUAGCUAUUAUAACUAAAGAGCACAAUUUCUCUGGUUACUUUUCUACUUAAAAGGCUUAAUGAUAUUUAUAGCUUGAAAUUUCCAUUUAUAGUUUUCUUAAUAUAAAUGGAUUUUCUUGGGAGUGUUCUCUCCUUUCUUUGCCUACCUAUGCCUUGUAGGAUUUAGAUUAGCUGGGUAGAUAAAUUAACAAAUUCAGGAGUACCAGGUUUGUCAACUUAAAAAAUUUACCUGUGUGGUUUUGUUUGUUUUUAAGGUAGAUUUCUUAGGAACCAAGAGUGAUCUAGGACUUUGGAAGUAUGGAAAUGCCAGGUUUUGGUUAUUUAGUAAAAACAGCUCCAAAGAUGGCAUCAGUUUUAACCCCAAUUGAUGUUAAGUUUGUAGAGCAGUCAUUUGCAUAGGAAGAACUGUAUAGCCGAAAGUUAUGCCCUGAAACUAGACUGUCCUGUAUUGGGUACUAGUGUGACUUUCGCUAAUUGUAUUUCAGUUUCUUUUUCUGUAUAGUGGUCUACCUUAAACCAGCCAUGGUGAGAACUGAGUUACAUAUCUUAAAAACAGCAUGUACUGAAUAUGAUCCUCACUAUCCAUGGUUCCAGUUCCACAACUGAGGAUUAAAAGUAUUCCCAAAAAAAUACAUUGUUGCUGACAUUGUACAAGGGACUUGAGCAUUCAACAAUGUUGGUAUCUGAACAGGGGUGGUCCUGAACCAAACCACAGAGGAUACCAAGGAACGAAUAUACUGUGUUAUGUGUUGAGUGGGAAUUUGGCAAUAUUUGGCUUGUUAUAUAAACUUUGUAUUUCAAAGA